rnacentral:lncRNA from 1 species
UAUAUAUAUAUAUAUAUAGAACUAGGCUACUAUGCUAUUAAUAGCACCAAAUUAUUGGUGCUACCAAGUUUUUGACCAUUGGAUUAAGCGAUGGGUGGUUAGGAUGAUAUGAGCCCCGUAGGGUUGAGUGUGUGGUUGGUUGAAUAGUAUAAUCUAACGAGUGAAAAUGAUCAAAAGGAUAGAUCUAACGGCGGAAAACUUGGUAGUACCAAGUGCUUCGUGCUAUUAAUAGCAUAGUAGCCGGACUCUAUAUAUAUAUAUAUAUAUAUAUAUAUAUAUAUUGUAUUAUUUUUAUAGUAUGUUAUGAUAUAUUAUAUUAUUUUCGUAUAAUAUACUAAACUAUACAUAAUUUAGUAUAAAAAUUAUGCAAAAUAUGUAUUAACAAUGCAUAUGCUGCACUACUUAGACAGAUAUUACACUAUUUGAGCAUUGUAUAUAUUGUAUUACUUAUACAGAUAUUGUACUAUUUGAAAAAGUAUACUGCACUAUUUGAGAGGAUGUUGCACUAUUUCAUCUUAUUAAUUAUACUUUUUUUUUUAUUUUGUCUUAAAUGAGGAUUCUCGUUUCACGAAAAAAGUACAUGUAAUUAUGGCUUAGCAGUUGUCAUUUUCAAAAAAUUUGACACUUAAUAAUUUAGCAGUUGUACUUUUUCAGGCAUUUAAAGCAUAUAAUUUUUAUACAUUUUGAAAGAGGAGUAAUUUGUUCAUCUUUCUGAAAAUUCGGUCCAAAUUUGUAAAAUUCAAAAAGACGGCCUACUUUUGCAAAAGCUCAAAAUUAAUAGAU